CACGUGUGCGGUUUGGAGAGUACCCGGAGAAAAAGCAUCGGCUAACUCCGUGCCAGCAGCCGCGGUAAUACGGAGGAUGCGAGCGUUAUCCGGAUUUAUUGGGUUUAAAGGGUGCGUAGGCGGACGCUUAAGUCAGCGGUAAAAUUGCGGGGCUCAACCUCGUCGAGCCGUUGAAACUGGGUGCCUUGAGUGGGCGAGAAGUACGCGGAAUGCGUGGUGUAGCGGUGAGAUGCAUAGAUAUCACGCAGAACUCCGAUUGCGAAGGCAGCGUACCGGCGCCCAACUGACGCUGAAGCACGAAGGCGUGGGUAUCGAACAGGAUUAGAUACCCUGGUAGUCCACGCAGUAAACGAUGAAUGCUAGUUGUCCGGGGCGAUUGAGUUCUG
rnacentral:rRNA from 1 species